UUACCUAUUCACUGUAGAGGAUUACAGUUACAUGCAACACUGCUGAGCAUCAGUGAUAUCGGUGAGAUAGCCCAAAGGACACUAAAAGACCCACCAGCCGCACCCUGUUAAUGCUGCUGCUGUUUGGCAAGAGAUAAAGGUGGAUCUGCUGUCGCACCACCAGACUAACAGAGCAGCUUCUUCAACGCAGUAGAGUGAAGUCGCAGGAUAGUGAGACAAGAAAACACACCGGUCGUUAGUAGUGAACUAGAGUAAUUGUGCAAAUUAAGAGUUUUAACAACGGGUAACUGACAUAUUGUAACCUGCAGAAUGCAGAGGACCAGUAAAAACUCCGUGGACUCCAAAGAUGAUAAGAUGUUUCCCGGUCAGCUGUUACUUCAUCUGGACUCCUCAAUAUGCUUCGCCCAGUUUCUCCACUCAUGUUUCACAUGACGUCUCAAGGAUUUAUGUUUCAGGAAUGAAAAGGUUCCUGCCACAAGAUCUUCAGAGGCAAUCAAGCAUUGGAACAAGGUUUACAGGUGAAGAACAGGUGGCCAACAGAGAGAAGUCCAUCACUAUGGCUGUGCUGCUCCAGAGCAGCCUUAUGAGGACGUUUGGCACAUCAAUCUGAGUGAGGAAGUGGCUUGUGGGAAAAGACCCUGUGCUCCUAAGCUUUAUCCCUCAACACACCACAAAGGCCAUGAUCCUAACAACACACAAGGCCAUGCCUGCAGCUUCACCUUGAUGUUGUUGGAGUCAGUGAGGAACAUGGUGAGACGAUCGAUACCCAUCCCCCAACCGGCAGUCGGUGGCAGUCCGUAUUCCAGUGCUGUGCAGAAGGUCUCAUCAAUGAACAUGGCUUCAUCAUCACCUUCGGCUUUGGCCUAAAAAAGAACACAAAUUAUUAACAUGCACUAAAUCACAGCGCUAUACAACAGUAAGGAGCCUGAACCUUUAGAUAAUGGGACAAUGUACAAGAGCAGAAUUGAAAAAUAUCACUUUUGGCUUUUAUACACACCUUGGCUUGCUGCUCGAAAAGCUCCCUCUGUCUGAUCGGAUCAUUCAACUCAGUGUAGGCAUUGCAGAUUUCCUUCUUCAUCACAAAGAGCUCAAAACGCUCCGUGAGGCCUUUCUGCGAUCUAUGCCUGUAACAAUUGAGAUAGUGUCAGUAUGAAUCUGAGCAUCACAAUUACAAAUAUGAGGAUGAAACAAGGGGUUUCUCACCAUUUUGCUAAGGGACUCAUGAUUUGAGGGUGAUCACAGAUGAAUGUGGGGUUGAUACAGGUGACCUCAAGGAAAUCUC